rnacentral:lncRNA from 1 species
CAGAAAUAAAGUAAAACAAGUGUAUGGCUUGCCUUCUCCACAAAGUUGCGUACUUGUUCCCUAUGUACUUUGUGUUUAUCAGGAGAUUCCUUUGUUAUAACAGGGUCUCUGCUCUUCAGCAGUUAAAAACAACUGGAAAGAAUUGAGUUGGGAGAGCAUGCUGUGCAAACAUGUCCCUGCCACAUCAUGGCCGUGCUACUUCCACUGAGCACACAUGCUACAUUCAUCCUCCACUGUCACCUGCAGCAAGUGUCCUCAGCACUGGUGGGACUAGUGUUGGCAAACAGACACAGGUCAUACCUUGGUACACACCAGGAUACUUUGAACUGGGAAUCAGAAGUAUCAGGCUCUCCUGGAAAUAGAGGCUGAGUUUCUAUCUCUGGACAGAGAGCCAACCCAUGGAGAAUUUAAAUGACCUCUCUGGAUCACAGUGAGAACUUGGAUGAGAUGCUCCGUUGCACUGUGUGAAAGCAGAACCUUGAGCCAGGCAGUAUUUGGGAGGUGGGACUGAGCUGUUUUGGUCACUCUCCUAUUUAGCUGACCUAACAGUGUUGGGAACAGAUAGUUACUUCAGAUAUUGUCAGUCAGUAGGUACUGCAGUCCAUGCUCAUAACUUCACAGAGGGAGAGGGAAAAUGAGAAAACUGUGAGCCAUUAAAAUAGUAAAGCUGUAAUUGAUAUUUGCUAAUAUGCAGGCAGAAAGACGUGUUAAUGGAGCUCACUAUAAUAUUCAGCAACAGUAGCAGUCCAGGCUGCACAUGAAAAGCAUUAAAGUCUUGUAAAAACAAUGCUGAUGUGGAGCUUUUUUUGUUUGUAUGUUUGUUCUUUUUUUCUUCUUUCUUUUUUUUUUUUUUUUUUGGAGGGGGAAGGGGGAUACAUUACAUAAGGAGAUGUUAAAUGUUUGAUUUUUGCUCUUUAGUUUGUCACAGGAGGAAGAAUUAUACACAUGUAGCUACUUAUUAAAAAGAUUUACUACAAAAUAUUGCAUGCCACACUGUUGCUUUUUUGAAGCUUGCAUUUCUUUUCAUAAAUAUUUUUUUACUUGACAACCCGAAAAUUG